ACUCCUACGGGAGGCAGCAGUGGGGAAUAUUGCACAAUGGGGGAAACCCUGAUGCAGCCAUGCCGCGUGUGUGAAGAAGGCCUUCGGUUGUAAAGCACUUUCUAGUAGGGAGGAAGGUAGUGUAGUUAACACCUGCAUUAUUUGUACGUUACCUACAGAAGAAGCACCGGCUAACUCCGUGCCAGCAGCCGCGGUAAGUACGGAGGGUGCGAGCGUUAAUCGGAAUUACUGGGCGUAAAGCGCAUGCAGGCGGCCUGUUAAGUCAGAUGUGAAAGCCCGGGGCUUAACCUCGGAAUUGCAUUUGAAACUGGCAGGCUAGAGUCUUGUAGAGGGGUUAGGAAUUUCAGGUGUAGCGGUGAAAUGCGUAGAGAUCUGAAGGAAUACCAGUGGCGAA
rnacentral:rRNA from 1 species